CCAAACAAUAAACAAGUGAAAUCUAAAUACAAAUCCACAACAUAAAAUUGAUGGAAAAAUACAAGACUGAUAUACAAGUACACAACCAAACGAUGAAAAGAUUUUACACGCUAGCUUAGUAAAACACAAAAAAUAAAUUAAUAAUUGGAUGUAAAAAUUUCCAAAUCUGUAUCAUACAAUCGAGAAUGAUCAAACACAUUUGGAUUUUGCUUGUUUUGAGGUGUAUGAUAAAGCGAAUAAUGUGGGAGAUGAAGAAUCUGGAUGGAAAACUCUUGAAAGAUGUUGACCUUGCACUAAUCUCCUCUAGGCAGUGGGCAGGGUCAAUGAGAUGCUAGUAGUCAAAGCCUUGAGGAGUCUGGUCAAAGAGGCCCAUGAUCUCCUUCUUUUUUGCUGUCAAGGUUGAUCAUGAAAAGCUUAAAUAUUUUUUCAGUGACUUUGGUGGAGGAGAAGGAGGUGGAGGAAUGGAGGUCAGAUUUGGUGAAUUUGGUGAAAAAGGAGAGAGAUA
rnacentral:misc_RNA from 1 species